GGCUCUGUGGUGAAGUUCAUGUUGAGUUGCAAGCUCAUCGAUAUGUGUUUAAGACGCAUCAGAGUCU
rnacentral:tRNA from 1 species